GAAAAUUGUAACAUAUACUGUGAGAGAAUUUCUUUUGUCUCCCUAGUUUUAAUGUAAUUUGGCUAAGACAACUAUUUAUCUAAGAAAUUAUACAUCAGCAGAUAUAUUCAGACAGUGCAGUGCCCCUUGUUUUAGCCUUCAGUGCCGGGAGAGGAAGGGGAAUGCGCCGACAGCCCAG
rnacentral:lncRNA from 11 species